UUAUGAUCACAUCAGGAGGAAACACCAGUUCUCGUAUGAUCACCGAAGUUAAGCAACGAGAGGCUGGCCAGUACUUAUAGAGGUGACCACUUGGGAAUACCAGGGGCUGUAAG